rnacentral:rRNA from 1 species
AUUGAACGCUAGCGGGAUGCUUUACACAUGCAAGUCGAACGGCAGCGCGGACUUCGGUCUGGCGGCGAGUGGCGAACGGGUGAGUAAUGUAUCUGAACGUGCCCAGUAGCGGGGGAUAACUACGCGAAAGCGUAGCUAAUACCGCAUACGCCCUACGGGGGAAAGCAGGGGAUCGUAAGACCUUGCACUAUUGGAGCGGCCGAUAUCGGAUUAGCUAGUUGGUGAGGUAACGGCUCACCAAGGCGACGAUCCGUAGCUGGUUUGAGAGGACGACCAGCCACACUGGGACUGAGACACGGCCCAGACUCCUACGGGAGGCAGCAGUGGGGAAUUUUGGACAAUGGGGGCAACCCUGAUCCAGCCAUCCCGCGUGUGCGAUGAAGGCCUUCGGGUUGUAAAGCACUUUUGGCAGGAAAGAAACGUCGCGGGCUAAUACCCCGUGGAACUGACGGUACCUGCAGAAUAAGCACCGGCUAACUACGUG